UGGGGUUAGCAUUAGCGAAGCUCUUGAUCGAAGCCCGAGUAAACGGCGGCCGUAACUAUAACGGUCCUAAGGUAGCGAAAUUCCUUGUCGGUUAAAUACCGACCUGCAUGAAUGGCGUAACGAGAUGGGAGCUGUCUCAAAGAGGGAUCCAGUGAAAUUGUAGUGGAGGUGAAAAUUCCUCCUACCCGCGGCAAGACGGAAAGACCCCGUGGACCUUUACUACAGCUUGACACUGCUACUUGGAUAAGAAUGUGCAGGAUAGGUGGGAGGCUUUGAGUAUAUGACGCCAGUUGUAUAUGAGCCAUUGUUGAGAUACCACUCUUUCUUAUUUGGGUAGCUAACCAGCUUGAGUUAUCCUCAAGUGGGACAAUGUCUGGUGGGUAGUUUGACUGGGGCGGUCGCCUCCCAAAUAAUAACGGAGGCUUACAAAGGUUGGCUCAGAACGGUUGGAAAUCGUUCGUAGAGUAUAAAGGUAUAAGCCAGCUUAACUGCAAGACAUACAAGUCAAGCAGAGACGAAAGUCGGUCUUAGUGAUCCGGUGGUUCUGUGUGGAAGGGCCAUCGCUCAAAGGAUAAAAGGUACCCCGGGGAUAACAGGCUGAUCUCCCCCAAGAGCUCACAUCGACGGGGAGGUUUGGCACCUCGAUGUCGGCUCAUCGCAUCC
rnacentral:rRNA from 1 species